GUCAAGCGAAUAAGCGUAUAUGGUGGAUGCCUUGGCAGUUAGAGGCGAUGAAGGACGUUGUAGACUACGAAAAGCUUCGGGGAGCAGUCAAACAUGCUUUGAUCCGGA
rnacentral:rRNA from 1 species